rnacentral:rRNA from 1 species
GACGAACGCUGGCGGCGUGCUUAACACAUGCAAGUCGAACGGAAAGGCCCUGCUUUUGUGGGGUGCUCGAGUGGCGAACGGGUGAGUAACACGUGAGUAACCUGCCCUUGACUUUGGGAUAACUUCAGGAAACUGGGGCUAAUACCGGAUAGGAGCUCCUGCUGCAUGGGGGGGGUUGGAAAGUUUCGGCGGUUGGGGAUGGACUCGCGGCUUAUCGGCUUGUUGGUGGGGUAGUGGCUUACCAAGGCUUUGACGGGUAGCCGGCCUGAGAGGGUGACCGGCCACAUUGGGCCUGAGCUACGGCCCAGACUCCUACGGGAGGCAGCAGUGGGGAAUAUUGCACAGUGGGCGGAAGCCUGAUGCAGCAACGCCGCGUGCGGGAUGACGGCCUUCGGGUUGUAAACCGCUUUCGCCUGUGACGAAGCGUGAGUGACGGUAAUGGGUAAAGAAGCACCGGCUAACUACGUG